rnacentral:rRNA from 1 species
GAUGAACGCUGGCGGCGUGCCUAAUACAUGCAAGUCGAGCGAACAGACGAGGAGCUUGCUCCUCUGACGUUAGCGGCGGACGGGUGAGUAACACGUGGAUAACCUACCUAUAAGACUGGGAUAACUUCGGGAAACCGGAUCUAAUACCGGAUAAUAUAUUGAACCGCAUGGUUCAAUAGUGAAAGACGGUUUUGCUGUCACUUAUAGAUGGAUCCGCGCCGCAUUAGCUAGUUGGUAAGGUAACGGCUUACCAAGGCAACGAUGCGUAGCCGACCUGAGAGGGUGAUCGGCCACACUGGAACUGAGACACGGUCCAGACUCCUACGGGAGGCAGCAGUAGGGAAUCUUCCGCAAUGGGCGAAAGCCUGACGGAGCAACGCCGCGUGAGUGAUGAAGGUCUUAGGAUCGUAAAACUCUGUUAUUAGGGAAGAACAAAUGUGUAAGUAACUAUGCACGUCUUGACGGUACCUAAUCAGAAAGCCACGGCUAACUACGUG